GUAGGAGGGUAAUAUCCUUCUGUGCCGAAGCUUACGCGUUAUACAUCCCGCCUGGGGAGUACGGCCGCAAGGUUUAAACUCAAACGAUUUGACGGGUCCCCGCUACAAGCAGCGGAGCGUGUGGUUUAAUUCGAUGCUACACGAAGAACCUUACCUGGGCUUGACAUGUAGGUAGUAGUGAAGCGAAAGCGGAACGACCCUUCGGGGAGCCUACACAGGUGCUGCAUGGCUGUCGUCAGCUCGUGCCGUGAGGUGUCGGGUUAAGUCCCGUAACGAGCGCAACCCCUGUCCUUAGUUAUACGUGUCUAAGGAGACUGCCCGGUACAACUGCGUAGUUAGGUGGGGUAUGACGUCUAGUUACUAUGGCCUUUAUCUUUAGGGCGAUACACACGCUACAAUGGCCGGUACAAUGGGUUGCUAAACCGUGAGGUGGUAGCCAAUCCUCCAAAGCCGGUCUAAGUUCGAAUUGUGGGCUGCAACUCGCCCUACAUGAAGCUGGAGUUGCUAGUAACCGCAGGUCACCUAUACUGCGGUGUAUACGUUCCCGGGGAUUGUACACACCGCUCGUCACGUCAUGG
rnacentral:rRNA from 1 species